UACAGAGGGGGCAAGCGUUGUUCGGAAUUACUGGGCGUAAAGGGCGCGUAGGUGGCUUUCUAAGUUGAACGUGAAAUCCCUGGGCUCAACCCAGGAACUGCGCUCAAGACUGGGAGGCUUGAAUCCGGGAGAGGGAUGCGGAAUUCCAGGUGUAGCGGUGAAAUGCGUAGAUAUCUGGAGGAACACCGGUGGCGAAGGCGGCAUCCUGGACCGGUAUUGACACUGAGGCGCGAAAGCCAGGGGAGCAAACGGG
rnacentral:rRNA from 1 species